rnacentral:rRNA from 1 species
UACGGGGGGAGCAAGCGUUGUUCGGAUUUACUGGGCGUAAAGGGCGCGUAGGCGGCCACUGCAAGUCGGUUGUGAAAUCUCCGGGCUUAACCCGGAAAGGUCAAUCGAUUCUGCAGGGCUAGAGUGCGGAAGGGGCAACUGGAAUUCCUGGUGUAGCGGUGAAAUGCGCAGAUAUCAGGAGGAACACCGGUGGCGAAGGCGGGUCUCUGGGCCGAUACUGACGCUGAGGAGCGAAAGCGUGGGGAGCGAACAGG